UCCGUAGGUGGAUAAUUAAGUCAGAGGUGAAAGUUUGCAGCUCAACUGUAAAAUUGCCUUUGAUACUGGUUGUCUUGAGUUAUUAUGAAGUAGUUAGAAUAUGUAGUGUAGCGGUGAAAUGCAUAGAUAUUACAUAGAAUACCAAUUGCGAAGGCAGAUUACUAAUAAUGUACCGACACUGAUGGACGAAAGCGUGGGGAGCGAACAGGAUUAGAUACCCUGGUAGUCC
rnacentral:rRNA from 1 species